rnacentral:rRNA from 1 species
UACGUAGGGUGCGAGCGUUAAUCGGAAUUACUGGGCGUAAAGUGUGUGCAGGCGGCCGAGCAAGUCGAGUGUGAAAGCCCCGGGCUUAACUUGGGAAUUGCGCUCGAAACUACUUGGCUGGAGUGUGGCAGAGGGGGGUGGAAUUCCACGUGUAGCGGUGAAAUGCGUAGAGAUGUGGAGGAACACCAAUGGCGAAGGCAGCCCCCUGGGCCAACACUGACGCUCAUGCACGAAAGCGUGGGGAGCAAACAGG